rnacentral:lncRNA from 1 species
GCAUGUCCAACUUCUCCUCUCUCCCACGUCCUGAAAAAGGGCAGCGUUGAUCUCGCCCUUCCCCCACUUCUUGCCUUCACGUGAUCUCGUCCCUCCCCUACGCACCACCACCAGAAAACUGUUACCUCUCUCAUCGUUCCUGAUCUCACGACUCCUCCUUCCCAUCCCCAGCCGCUGCCGGACGCCAUGGCCUAGCUUCCAGGAGCUCCUCCCCCACAGCGAAAAACAGAGUGAAAAAGCCGGAAAAAACGAAAAAAAAUCAUGGGGAUUGAGAGGCGAAAAUUAACAGUUGUGCCUGCAACUAUUUUGUCCUGGUCAGGCAAAAGUUCUGAACAUUAAGAGCAAUUCUAGUGCCACAGUUAGGCAAAAAUUGUCCAAUUGCAACAGCAAAAAAUAAACAAGGUGUUCCCAUGUCUACAAACUUCUGGAGAUUUUAGAGCAAUUCAAUUGUCUAGGGACUGUCGAACUAGUACAUUUUCCUGUGUACCCACCCCAGUGAUGUACUUCUUGCAGAAACGGCAAAAUUAGCAUCUGUACUGAAUUGAUGCUAAACCUGGUGAUGUUGGACCUGUUGUUGUUGUACCUUGCCUCGCCCUGUACACCUGUAUAACUUGGAUACUAUGAACAUAAAAGUUGUUGACUUCUGGCCAUUCGAUUGUAGCUUGACUAUUGUUUUACACCUUGCUUCUGGAAGAAAAAAUGAAAUGGAACAAGAAGCAUAUUUGUGUUACUAAGAACUGUGUGUAUGUACAUAAGCUUUCUACUCCCUCCGUUCCUAAAUAUAAGUCUUUGUAGAGAUUUCACUAGUUGACUACAUACGGAUGUAUAUAGACAUAUUUUAUUUGAUUCGUAUGUAGACCCUUAGUGAAAUCGUUUAAAAGACUUAUAUUUAGGAACAGAGGGAGUAGUUGCUUAGACCAAAAACUACGUCUAGUUGCAUACAAAAACACAGAAGUAUCCAUAGAAAAAAUGCGUGAAAACUAGUGGUACCAUACACAAUUUUGCUUGCCAUGACGCGACAGAAAAAAGGGAGAAUGCUAACAUUUUUUCAUUCUUGUCUUAAGAAAAUGCAUAUGGCUGGCAUUGAUCUCAGACCGAGUUCUUUUGAGCAGAUUAUGAAGAAUCUCGGUCUAAAAGAUCUUAAGCCAAAAGAACUCGAUUGCCUCUUCAAAAUCUUGAUAGGAUUCUAUAAAAUCCUAGUGCAAUCUAAAAUCUCCAAAAUAGUUGGAUUCUUCCACAAUCUCAGGAUUUUGGCUAGUCCCUCAAAAGAAAAUUGUUCGAGUUAAAAGAAUGCCCCUAUUACAGUAGGUUAUUACGGCAAGAAUGCCACCUUGCACGACUAGAGAGAACCCGCGUCCCUGCCUGGUGAUGCCCCGACUGUUCG